ACAUGCAGUCGAGGGGUAUAAGAGAGCUUGCUUUCUUAGAGACCGGCGCACGGGUGCGUCACUCGUAUGCAAUCUACCUUACUCAGGGGGAUAGCCCGAAGAAACUCGGAUUAACACCGCAUAACAUAUAGUUUCGGCAUCGGAGUUAUAUCAAAUAUUUAUAGGAGUAAGAUGAGCAUGCGUGACAUUAGCUAGUUGGUAAGGUAACGGCUUACCAAGGCGACGAUGUCUAGGGGAUCUGAGAGGAUGACACCCCCCGCACUGGUACUGAGACACGGACCAGACUCCUACGGGAGGCAGCAGUAAGGAAUAUUGGUCAAUGGGCGAAAGCCUGAACCAGCCAUGCCGCGUGCAGGAGGACGGCCCUAUGGGUUGUAAACUGCUUUUGUACCGGAAUAAACCUGAUUAUGUAUAGUCAGCUGAAUGUACGGUAAGAAUAAGGAUCGGCUAACUCCGUGCCAGCAGCCGCGGUAACAAUACGGAGGAUCCAAGCGUUAUCCGGAUUUAUUGGGUUUAAAGGGUGCGUAGGCGGCUUGUUAAGUCAGAGGUGAAAGACGGUAGCUCAACUAUCGCAGUGCCUUUGAUACUGAUGAGCUUGAAUGAAGUU
rnacentral:rRNA from 1 species